rnacentral:rRNA from 2 species
GGGUUGUGAGGUUAAGCGACUAAGCGUACACGGUGGAUGCCCUGGCAGUCAGAGGCGAUGAAGGACGUGCUAAUCUGCGAUAAGCGUCGGUAAGGUGAUAUGAACCGUUAUAACCGGCGAUUUCCGAAUGGGGAAACCCAGUGUGAUUCGUCACACUAUCAUUAACUGAAUCCAUAGGUUAAUGAGGCGAACCGGGGGAACUGAAACAUCUAAGUACCCCGAGGAAAAGAAAUCAACCGAGAUUCCCCCAGUAGCGGCGAGCGAACGGGGAGCAGCCCAGAGCCUGAAUCAGUGUGUGUGUUAGUGGAAGCGUCUGGAAAGGCGCGCGAUACAGGGUGACAGCCCCGUACACAAAAAUGCACAUAUUGUGAGCUCGAUGAGUAGGGCGGGACACGUGGUAUCCUGUCUGAAUAUGGGGGGACCAUCCUCCAAGGCUAAAUACUCCUGACUGACCGAUAGUGAACCAGUACCGUGAGGGAAAGGCGAAAAGAACCCCGGCGAGGGGAGUGAAAAAGAACCUGAAACCGUGUACGUACAAGCAGUGGGAGCACGCUUAGGCGUGUGACUGCGUACCUUUUGUAUAAUGGGUCAGCGACUUAUAUUCUGUAGCAAGGUUAACCGAAUAGGGGAGCCGAAGGGAAACCGAGUCUUAACUGGGCGUUAAGUUGCAGGGUAUAGACCCGAAACCCGGUGAUCUAGCCAUGGGCAGGUUGAAGGUUGGGUAACACUAACUGGAGGACCGAACCGACUAAUGUUGAAAAAUUAGCGGAUGACUUGUGGCUGGGGGUGAAAGGCCAAUCAAACCGGGAGAUAGCUGGUUCUCCCCGAAAGCUAUUUAGGUAGCGCCUCGUGAAUUCAUCUCCGGGGGUAGAGCACUGUUUCGGCAAGGGGGUCAUCCCGACUUACCAACCCGAUGCAAACUGCGAAUACCGGAGAAUGUUAUCACGGGAGACACACGGCGGGUGCUAACGUCCGUCGUGAAGAGGGAAACAACCCAGACCGCCAGCUAAGGUCCCAAAGUCAUGGUUAAGUGGGAAACGAUGUGGGAAGGCCCAGACAGCCAGGAUGUUGGCUUAGAAGCAGCCAUCAUUUAAAGAAAGCGUAAUAGCUCACUGGUCGAGUCGGCCUGCGCGGAAGAUGUAACGGGGCUAAACCAUGCACCGAAGCUGCGGCAGCGACGCUUAUGCGUUGUUGGGUAGGGGAGCGUUCUGUAAGCCUGCGAAGGUGUGCUGUGAGGCAUGCUGGAGGUAUCAGAAGUGCGAAUGCUGACAUAAGUAACGAUAAAGCGGGUGAAAAGCCCGCUCGCCGGAAGACCAAGGGUUCCUGUCCAACGUUAAUCGGGGCAGGGUGAGUCGACCCCUAAGGCGAGGCCGAAAGGCGUAGUCGAUGGGAAACAGGUUAAUAUUCCUGUACUUGGUGUUACUGCGAAGGGGGGACGGAGAAGGCUAUGUUGGCCGGGCGACGGUUGUCCCGGUUUAAGCGUGUAGGCUGGUUUUCCAGGCAAAUCCGGAAAAUCAAGGCUGAGGCGUGAUGACGAGGCACUACGGUGCUGAAGCAACAAAUGCCCUGCUUCCAGGAAAAGCCUCUAAGCAUCAGGUAACAUCAAAUCGUACCCCAAACCGACACAGGUGGUCAGGUAGAGAAUACCAAGGCGCUUGAGAGAACUCGGGUGAAGGAACUAGGCAAAAUGGUGCCGUAACUUCGGGAGAAGGCACGCUGAUAUGUAGGUGAAGUCCCUUGCGGAUGGAGCUGAAAUCAGUCGAAGAUACCAGCUGGCUGCAACUGUUUAUUAAAAACACAGCACUGUGCAAACACGAAAGUGGACGUAUACGGUGUGACGCCUGCCCGGUGCCGGAAGGUUAAUUGAUGGGGUCAGCGCAAGCGAAGCUCUUGAUCGAAGCCCCGGUAAACGGCGGCCGUAACUAUAACGGUCCUAAGGUAGCGAAAUUCCUUGUCGGGUAAGUUCCGACCUGCACGAAUGGCGUAAUGAUGGCCAGGCUGUCUCCACCCGAGACUCAGUGAAAUUGAACUCGCUGUGAAGAUGCAGUGUACCCGCGGCAAGACGGAAAGACCCCGUGAACCUUUACUAUAGCUUGACACUGAACAUUGAGCCUUGAUGUGUAGGAUAGGUGGGAGGCUUAGAAGUGUGGACGCCAGUCUGCAUGGAGCCGACCUUGAAAUACCACCCUUUAAUGUUUGAUGUUCUAACGUUGACCCGUAAUCCGGGUUGCGGACAGUGUCUGGUGGGUAGUUUGACUGGGGCGGUCUCCUCCUAAAGAGUAACGGAGGAGCACGAAGGUUGGCUAAUCCUGGUCGGACAUCAGGAGGUUAGUGCAAUGGCAUAAGCCAGCUUGACUGCGAGCGUGACGGCGCGAGCAGGUGCGAAAGCAGGUCAUAGUGAUCCGGUGGUUCUGAAUGGAAGGGCCAUCGCUCAACGGAUAAAAGGUACUCCGGGGAUAACAGGCUGAUACCGCCCAAGAGUUCAUAUCGACGGCGGUGUUUGGCACCUCGAUGUCGGCUCAUCACAUCCUGGGGCUGAAGUAGGUCCCAAGGGUAUGGCUGUUCGCCAUUUAAAGUGGUACGCGAGCUGGGUUUAGAACGUCGUGAGACAGUUCGGUCCCUAUCUGCCGUGGGCGCUGGAGAACUGAGGGGGGCUGCUCCUAGUACGAGAGGACCGGAGUGGACGCAUCACUGGUGUUCGGGUUGUCAUGCCAAUGGCACUGCCCGGUAGCUAAAUGCGGAAGAGAUAAGUGCUGAAAGCAUCUAAGCACGAAACUUGCCCCGAGAUGAGUUCUCCCUGACUCCUUGAGAGUCCUGAAGGAACGUUGAAGACGACGACGUUGAUAGGCCGGGUGUGUAAGCGCAGCGAUGCGUUGAGCUAACCGGUACUAAUGAACCGUGAGGCUUAACCUUACAACGCCGAAGGUGUUU